GGGUGGCUGGGCCAAAUUUGAGUGAGUGGUGCUACAAGGUAGUUCAGUUCUUCCCUCUCCCUCCAAGGACGUGACAGAGCUGUGUUAAUGUCCUGCACUGCCUGACUCAUCCCUUCCUCCGUGCACUAGCAUUUCCGCUGGUCUCAGGACACACGAACAGACAGCUGCUGGAGCACCAGGGAAGUGGUCCGGGGUCGCCCAAGAACCCCUGAAACAGCCCUUCAGACAAUUGUGGUAUGAAUUGAAUUGUUCUAACAUAUAAAUCACACCAGACAUGUCUAUGGACCCUCUAACACAAUGCAACAGGGAUGGAAGCUGUUAAAACUGAUGUCACAGCAUUAUCCAGAUCAUGAGCAUUACUGGAAGCUGGACCUUGGUCACCCUUAAAUCCCUGAGGGCCCUGGUAACGAGGAGGAAGGAAUGGAAGACACAAAAGACCAGUUUAUGCUCGUGAAACCUGAACUGACACAGCUUGUGUGGCAGAAUGAGGCAGCAGUUCUCAAACCGCGGUGGUGAUACUCACUGGGCCAAAUUCAAGCCUGUGGCCCAAGAGAUACCAUCUUUGCCUGCAUGCCUCACUAAAACAGAGAGACUGCAUCUGGGGAUUAACGGCGGGAAUUGAGAAAGACCAUCUACAGCUUCUCCAGUGGUACACAAGACUCUGAGCACUUCCAGGUUGUGCUGGGGGUGGGAGUGUUCCCUGCAGAGCUCCAUGCUGCUCUGAGGCACAAGCCAUGAAGCACUAGCUACAUCAGCAACUGGAACAUAGUGACCUUAGAGAAAUCAGGACAAAUAUAUCACCCAAAAAAUAACACUAAAACUCAUUGACAGGCCUGUUACUCCUCCAUGGAGCUCUUUGUGGAAUCCAGCUAGAAACCAAGGGAAAAAACUGCCAAUGACCUAAAUUUGCAUGUAUCAAGCUGAGAAUCUCUCUCCCCCUCUCCUCCUAGACCUACAGGCCAGAGGAGACAUCUCGCUCGGAAAGCAGAAGCAAGAGGAACGGACAGCUGAUUCCUCUGAAAGUGGGGGCGGGGAGGGAGAGGAGAAAAAUGAAUGAAAGGGAGCAGCAUGGCGAAGGGAAGCAAAAGGGAACUGCGGGUAGAUCGGAUGUUAUCACUGGGAACAUUGUGGGAUGAGGAAAGCUUGGGAGAGCAGAAUUAAAGAGGCAUCGUUACCAGACUGGUGAUGCACUGCCAGAAAACAGUAUAACAGGGAGGUCAGGGAAAAUCUACUCUCUCUUAUAACUGUGAAGGCUGGACCCGCAGCAGUUAAAGACAAAAGAGGCUUCUUGGGGGAGAUGGGUGAGAACCAGGAACUGAAGAGGACAGUCACUGGGAAGAAAGAAGAGAACAAUCACUGAAAGAAGCGGACAGUCACUGGGAAACGGUCGAGUGUUUGGUGAGAAGAGGCUCAGAGAAGAGGAUGGUUUUUAAUUCAGAAAAAAACAAACACCUUUUUGUGAACUAGGUACAGAUCAAGAAUGCGGGUUUCAAAGCCAUCUAGGGGAUUUGGACACCUGAUUCCCCCUGUGUUUUAAUGGGAUUUGGGUAUUCAAAUCCCUUAGACAGCUUUGAAAAUCUCAGCUGAAUUUUGCAGAGCGGUUUGCUCAGUCCCAGCUGAGAGAGUGAGGAUACCUCACCCCAGCAUGAAU